UGGGGAAUUUUGGACAAUGGGCGAAAGCCUGAUCCAGCAAUGCCGCGUGUGUGAAGAAGGCCUUCGGGUUGUAAAGCACUUUUGUCCGGAAAGAAAUCCUUGGCUCUAAUACAGUCGGGGGAUGACGGUACCGGAAGAAUAAGCACCGGCUAACUACGUGCCAGCAGCCGCGGUAAUACGUAGGGUGCAAGCGUUAAUCGGAAUUACUGGGCGUAAAGCGUGCGCAGGCGGUUUGCUAAGACCGAUGUGAAAUCCCCGGGCUCAACCUGGGAACUGCAUUGGUGACUGGCAGGCUAGAGUAUGGCAGAGGGGGGUAGAAUUCCACGUGUAGCAGUGAAAUGCGUAGAGAUGUGGAGGGAUACCGAUGGCGAAGGCAGCCCCCUGGGCCAAUACUGACGCUCAUGCACGAAAGCGUGGGGAGCAAACAGGAUUAGAUACCCUGGUAGUCCACGCCCUAAACGAUGUCAACUAGUUGUUGGGGAUUCAUUUCCUUAGUAACGUAGCUAACGCGUGAAGUUGACCGCCUGGGGAGUACGGUCGCAAGAUUAAAACUUAAAUGAAUUGACGGGGUCAU
rnacentral:rRNA from 1 species